GCGGGCGAGAGGCGGGCGCCAGGCAGGCCAUGGCGGGCCUGAAGAGUGGGAACGUGCGUCCGAGAGGCACACAAUUGUGAUGAAAACUACAAAAAUUGCAGGUGUGCCUGCCAAGCUAAAUCUGGCAACCCUAGCCUCGGGGUUUCCUAAGCUCACCGUUCCUUGGUUGUGACACAGAUCCACUGUUGUGUGCAGCAUCCACCUGGGCCAUACUGCAUCACCCCCAUCAGCAGAUUGAUGGCCACAUGGGGCGAAUGCUGCCAGCUGCUCUGUGAGUAAGAAAGGCCUUUGUCUCUGACCCAGGAGGCUCCUUCUCCAGCACCUGUGGAAAUUAUGGCAGGCUAACUUGUAAGGUAAAACUCCAGAACCUAUAGUUCCUUACUUGAUAACAAUAACCUAGAUGAGGGUAUGGGGAGCGGGCUAUGCCCCUCCCCCACUUGCUGAUGUGGCGGGAAUGGAGAACAAAGAACAUCCUGUUCACCCAUUCCAGGAGCAACUGAAAGAGCCCUGCUGUGCCUACCUUUGACCGGCUAUGGCUGACGUCAAUACUGUGCUUGACUGUUUAUUGGAUAAGGCUAUUUUCUGAAAUCGUGUAUGUCUUUGCUAUAUAAAUACCCUGGUACCCAAUAAAGCUUUGCCGGUGACGCGCGGGAGCGUCAGCCCUCCCA